rnacentral:lncRNA from 1 species
GGCGUCUGGCUUCCUGUCACUUCAGCCUUGCUCCAGCCUCAGUCCAAUGGAACAACCUUCCUUUGCUCCACGGUUACCACCUGGGAUCAGAUGCUAGAAGUCAGCUCCAGAGCUGGUUACCUGUGUGUGUCCCCCACGUCUGAAAGAGGGCCAACAGGAGGUUGUAUCCAUUUGACAGCCUGCCUGGUCCUCUUGAGAACAUGCACAUGCAGCUCAGUGGCUGACAUCUCUUGUUCUGAGAGAGGCCUCGGCCUUUAAAGGGUGUGCCUCAAGUUCUUGGUCCUAGGAGACCUCAAGGAGAGGGGCCCGAGGACAAGCAAGGAGGAAAAUCCUGUCCAAAUGUGUAUUUGCCUGAAGAGACGUACAUUGAUGUGUGUAUGAAUGUGGCGAAUUCACAUGCCACUGUUAACGCAGGUCACCUGGGGCAGGUGAGAGUUGACUGGUGGAGGGAGGGGCAGCCAAGACGGAGGGAGGAGGUUGGUGAAACCUGGAAACAGGAAAGCCUGGGCCUGCAGUGAAGUUUGUGUGACACCAUUUUGCUGACUUGUAUAUCCGCAGCUGUAAAGACAUUAAAAAACUCAAGUUGCCAUUAGACUUUACGUCCUGUCUGCGGAGGGUGAACCCAAGGCCUGCGUCUGGCUCAGUGGAUUAGCACGACAAGCGGAGACAUUCACUCCAGCAAGCAAUAAAGCCCGACCACAGCAAGGUUUCCGUGAUUAAGAAAGUAAAUCUCCUUCUUCGAGAAUAAAGACAUAAAUGCCAUAUUUUUUUUGCUGGAGAAGUGAUGUGGGAAGAUGCCCUCCAGAGACUGUCUGUCAAACAUCCUUGAAGAAACAUGUCUUGGUGUGCUUAUUGCAGCACACAUUGUCUACACUGAACGCCGGCGGAAGCUCUGCUCUGCUAAAUGCUGCACACAUCACCCGCUUCCUCGAGCCGCCUGAAGGCGAAGCUUUUAGGAGCAGACCUGGCUCAUCAAUAUCAGCCUGCCCAAGGCUCCCCCACCCAGGAGAGCAGGCAGGGAAGAAGGAAGCUGUGGAGCAGUUGGCUUGCCCUGGGAAAGUGUGUCCUCAUUAGCACAGGAAAACAAAGCACGCGUGUUGAGAUUACUUCUCUGGUCUUCUCUCUCUUGCCCAAAGCUUGCACUCUCUUGUGUAGAAUGGAAAAAUGAAACCAUUGCUGUCACCGGCAGUGUUUCGGUUAUGACUGCUGUGUAACAAAUCACCCCAGAACCGAGCAGUCGAUUUAUGGAGCUUUCUGGUUCAGAAGGUCAGGAACUUGCUGAGGGU